CUGCACCUUCACACCUUCACACCUGCACCUGGUCUCUGCAAUCACCACCUGCAUUUAAGCCCUGCUGGGAGGCUUCUCCAGUGCCAGAUUAUUCCCACAUCUGAAGUGUGCCUCCACGAGCCCCCAGUGCUUUUUCCCUAUCGCUGCCACACUGCCUCACUCUCUACCUGGAUUUAUUCACCAGCCUCCACCUCCAGUCCUCACGCCUUGAACCCUGGAUCCCUUCCCUGCUCCCUUUGUUUCAUGCAAUAAAUUAACUGAAUUGCGUCCUCUGACAGGCUAGUAAAAGACAGGUUAGUGAGGGUGCAUGUCAGUGAUGGAUAUAGAAAACACUGCUGUGUUUGAGCGUGAAGAUGCAAAUGGGGGACAAAAUAAAUGCUCCUUGAGGACGAGAUGACACCACUGAGGGUAGAGGGAGGAAACUCCCUUAGAGACUUCAUCAUGCAUUCUGACAUAAUUUAGCAUUUUGUUGCAAUGAGUCAGAUAGCAGAAAGAACAGCAAAUGUUGCAAUAUGUUACUUUUAAUUUUAAAGGCAGGCAAACAAGUACACAUUAAGAGUUAAUAAUAGUUUUCACAGUUUAUGAUAAAGACCAUCCUCUUCAUGAAGGUUAAAAAAAAAUCCAAUUGAUCUGGGUGAAUGUCUUUGUUCAAAGGAGUUCAUAUGUUUCUGAUCCUCAACUGUGUGAUGCUCAUUUAUGUCAAGCAGCAUUGAAUAGAUGAAGUUCAUGGUAUAUGGUUCCCAGACUCAGGGUUUUCAAAUCCCUCCCCUUCUUCGAUACUGGACAGCAGCCCAUCAUUCUCCUCCUCAGGUGGUCCUGCUGGGUUUUCUUCAUGUUCUAUUUUAGUACCUGGCAAAUCCACAGAGCAGACCUCUGCUGUGUUUGGCAUGCCGCCUGCCUGUUCACUUUGUGCUUCAAUUUGUAGUUGUAGUCUGUCACAUUCAGCUCCAUGUUGUCUGAUUAUAUAUGAAGCUGUUGUGUUAAUGUCUUUGUGAGACCCACCCUCAACAAAACCUGCUCCAUUGUGUCCAUGUGAGGCACUUCUUGUCUCCAUCCCUGUACAAGUGAGGCAAAAUUAAACACGUUAUUAUACAGAGAGAAAAACUCUAAUAUUGUCUGUAGUGUUUGUAGUUGUACUGAUGAUUUUACGACUUCAUUCCAGUCGGGUAGUUUAUGGCCACAUUCCUGUGUUUGCCUGUUUUGUAGAGCAUGAUAAAACUAAUUCAAUAAAAUCUGCACUUUCAGGUCAGAGUUUGUGAUGCACACAGCGCCACCAUGUGGAAAUUUAUGCUCUACUUAAAACUUUUACUCUGCACUGUAACUUUUAUCUGAAAAUCUGAUCCUGUAA